UCUCUGGUAGUAUAUCGGUUAGUACACGCGCCUGUCAUUGGGCUCCCAUGUGUGAGCGCGCGAAAGCUGGGUUCGACUCCAGCCAGAGAG